rnacentral:rRNA from 1 species
UACGUAGGGUGCAAGCGUUAAUCGGAAUUACUGGGCGUAAAGCGUGCGCAGGCGGUGAUGUAAGACAGAUGUGAAAUCCCCGGGCUCAACCUGGGAACUGCUUGAUUGUGCUGCAUCGCUGGAGUGCGGCAGAGGGGGAUGGAAUUCCGCGUGUAGCAGUGAAAUGCGUAGAUAUGCGGAGGAACACCGAUGGCGAAGGCAAUCCCCUGGGCCUGCACUGACGCUCAUGCACGAAAGCGUGGGGAGCAAACAGG